UAUCUGUAGGAAAGGGAACAGUUUCCCUUUAGAAUGCCCAAGUUGUAUCUAAAAUUUUUUUCUAAUAUUAUACUUAUUUAAGGAUCAAAUUUUUACCUGAAUUGUAGCAGAACCAAGGUUCAAAUUUCAAAUUAUCUGAUAUAAACCUCCAUGGAGGCCUGGAUAUGUAGACCUUCUACUUCGCAUGCACGUCAAACGCC
rnacentral:lncRNA from 1 species